rnacentral:tRNA from 1 species
GCAUAGUUGGCUUAUGGCCAAGUCUGAUUUGAUGGAUCGGGUGACCACGGAUCUCUCCCGUGGCCAUACC